rnacentral:rRNA from 1 species
UACGAAGGGGGCUAGCGUUGCUCGGAAUGACUGGGCGUAAAGGGCGCGUAGGCGGAAUGCUUUGUCGGACGUGAAAUCUCCAGGCUCAACCUGGAAAUGGCAUUGGAUACUAUUUAGCUUGAGGAGUGGAGGGGGGACUGGAAUUCUCGGUGUAGCAGUGAAAUGCGUAGAUAUCGAGAGGAACACCAGUGGCGAAGGCGAGUCCCUGGACACUUCCUGACACUGAGGCACGAAAGCUAGGGGAGCAAACAGG